UGGGGAAUAUUGGACAAUGGGCGAAAGCCUGAUCCAGCAAUACCGCGUGUGUGAAGAAGGCCUUAGGGUUGUAAAGCACUUUCAAUUGGGAGGAAAAAACCAGGGUCAAUACCCCUGGUCUUGACAUUACCUUUAGAAGAAGCACCGGCUAACUCCGUGCCAGCAGCCGCGGUAAUACGGAGGGUGCAAGCGUUAAUCGGAAUUACUGGGCGUAAAGAGUGCGUAGGCGGCUCGUUAAGUCAGAUGUGAAAGCCCUGGGCUCAACCUGGGAACUGCAUUUGAAACUGGCGAGCUAGAGUUGAGUAGAGGUAAGUGGAAUUUCAGGUGUAGCGGUGAAAUGCGUAGAUAUCUGAAGGAACACCAGUGGCGAAGGCGACUUACUGGACUCAAACUGACGCUGAGGUACGAAAGCGUGGGUAGCAAACAGG
rnacentral:rRNA from 1 species